rnacentral:rRNA from 1 species
AUUGAACGCUAGCGGGAUGCCUUACACAUGCAAGUCGAACGGAGUGGCGAACGGGUGAGUAAUGUAUAGGAACGUGCCCAGUAGCAGGGGAUACCUACGCGAGAGCGUAGCUAUUGCCGCAUACUUUUGGAGCGGUCGCUAGCGGAGUGGCUAGUUGGUGGGGUAACGGCUCACCAAGGCUACGAUCCGUAGCUGGUUUGAGAGGACGACCCGCCACACUGGGACUGAGACACGGCCCAGACUCCUACGGGAGGCAGCAGUGGGGAAUUUUGGGCAAUGGGGGAAACCCUGAUCCAGCCAUGCCGCGUGUGCGAUGAAGGCCUUCGGGUUGUAAAGCACUUUUGGCAGGAAAGCGGUACCUGCAGAAUAAGCACCGGCUAACUACGUGCCAGCAGCCGCGGUAAUAC